AACGCACAUUGCACUCUUUUAGAGUAUGCCUGUUUGAGAAUCUAUAGUAUUUAUUUUUGUCUAUAUUUUUUAGGAAGUAUAGGCAAAAGAUAUGGGGUUUCCCUCGCAAGAGGGUACUCUGAAAUAGAUUGCCUCUGUUUUGAUAGACUCGACGAAGUUUUUCAAUCCUGCAGAAAAGUAUUUGAAUGGAACCGUGGUUUCUCGAUAUGCUGAAUAUGUGGGGGAAAGAUGGAGAAUCUAUUGGGCAGAUGUCCAUACCCUAUAAGGCGGUCUUAGGAUCGGCUUGAACCAUGGUCUCAAAUCAGGUAGGAAGACCCGCUGAACUUAA
rnacentral:misc_RNA from 1 species